UCAAUAUCACCUAGGGAAAACGAAUGUUGUGGCUGACGCCUUAAGCAGGAAAUCUGUUGGUUCUUUAGCAGCUAUUAGAGGUUGUCAGAGGCAAUUAUUGGGAGAUUUGAGGAGUUUUCAAGUACAUAUGAGAGUUUUGGACUCGGGAGCUCUUGUGGCGAACUUUAGAGUGCAACCAAACUUAGUUGGGAGAAUUAAGGCCCUACAAAAGAAUGAUUUGAAUUUAGUGCAACUUAUGGAAGAGGUUAAAAAGGGCAGUAAGCCUGACUUUGUUUUAUCAGAUGAUGGGAUUUUGAGGUUUAGGACUAGACUUUGUGUCCCAAAUGAUGGAGACUUAAGGAGAGAGCUUUUGGAGGAAGUUCAUUGUUCUAGGCUUGCGAUCCACCCAAGAGGGACAAAGAUGUACAAAGAUUUGAGACAGAAUUAUUGGUGGUCAGGUAUGAAGCGAGAUAUUGCGCAAUUUGUGGCUCAGUGUUUGGUGUGUCAACAAGUGAAAGCUGAGCAUUAACGACCAACAGGGUUUUUGCAACCACUUUCUAUUCCCGAGUGGAAAUGAGAACAUAUUACUAUGGAUUUUGUGACUGGGUUACCAAGGACCUUAAGGGGCAAUAAUGCAAUUUGGGUGAUUGUUGAUCGAUUAACAAAGUCUACUCAUUUUCUACCUAUGAAAGUUAAUUUUUCUAUGGAUCGUUUGGCUUCUCUUUAUAUUAAGGAGAUUGUGAGAAUGCAUGACAUACCUAUUUCUAUAGUAUCUGACAAAGAUCCUCAUUUCACUUCCAGAUUUUGGCAUAGUUUAUAGAAAGCAUUAGGUACUAAGUUGAGUUUUAGUACUGCUUUUCAUCCGCAGACUGAUUGUCAAUCAGAGAGGGUAAUUCAGGUCUUGGAAGAUUUGUUGAGAGCUUGUGCUUUGGACCUAAAAGGUAAUUGGGAUGAUUAUUUGCCCCUAGUGGAGUUUGCCUAUAAUAAUAGCUUUCAAGCUAGCAUUGGGAUGACAACUUUUGAGGCGUUGUUGGUAGGAGAUGUCGAUCUCCUGUUUGUUGGGAUGAUGUUGAAGAGAAGAAACUUUUGGGGCCUGAACUUGUGCAGUUGACUAUUGAAAAUGUCUCUUUAAUUAAGGAAAGAUUGAAAGCAGCACAGAGUAGACAGAAGAGUUAUGCUGAUAAUCGCAGACGAGAUUUGGAGUUUGAGGUGGGUGAUCAUGUUUUCUUGAAAGUUUCACCUAUGAAGUCUAUAAUGAGAUUUGGAAGAAAAGGGAACUCAGUCCUUAUUUUGUGGGACCAUUUGAGGUAUUAGAAAGAGUAGACACUUUGGCUUAUAAAGUGGCCUUGCCCCCAAGUCUAUCUAAGAUUCAUAAUGUAUUCCAUGUUUUGACCUUGAGGAAAUAUAUUUAUGAUCCCUCUCAUGUUGUGGAGUUGGAGCCUAUUCAAAUUUCUGAGGACUUGACCUAUGAAGAGGUACCCGUUCAAAUUGUGGAUGUGAUGGAUAAGGUACUAUGACAUGCUAUUGUCAAGUUGGUAAAGGUCCAGUGGAACAAUCAUAGUAUCCGAGAGGCCACUUGGGAGUUAGAAGAAGAUAUGAGAGAAAAUCAUCCUCAAUUAUUUCAAGACUCAAGUAUGUCAAGUUUAGAGGAGGGGAGGUUGUAACGCCCAAGUUUUUUUUUUUUUUUAGGGGCAAUUUAGGAAAUAUUAAUAAUAUUAAAUUAAUUAAUUAUUUAUUUUACUAAAAUGGAAAAAGGGUGAAAAGGUAAUUUUAUGAAUAAUACCCUAGGUAUAAAUUAGAAUUUUGUUCUUCCUAUUUUUUUCUGAAUCGCGUUUCUGUUCGCAAAGAGUUUUUGAGAACGUAAGAUUGGAGUCGGAUUUUAGGGUUUGAAGAACAGAUUUCUAUAGGUAAGAUUAUAACCUCUAGAUUAAUAUUUUAAAUUCCUUAGUUAAUUUCAAACACAUUAGAUAUUUUUUGGAAAAUCUAAAUCUAGGUUAGGGUUUGUUUAUUUAACUUUUAGAUCAAAAUGUUUGAAAAUUUGUAAGUUUAUGUUGAUUUAUUGAUGAAGAUAGGAAAAUUUCAAAAAUUUCAAUGGAAUAGAAAAAUAAAUAAAUAAAUUUGAAAUGAAAAAAAAAUCAGAGGAAGAAAAGAAAUUUUAGAUUUAUAUAAUAAAUAAAUAAGUCGUUUGUGGAGGCUUUAGAUUGAAAGGAAAAUAAAUAAAUAAAUAAACAACAAUGGGAAUGUGUGGAUCCGUUGGGUGUGGAGUAUAUGUUUUCUUAUUUAAUGUUUAAUGGUUGGUGUGUGCUGGAGAUGGUAGGAUAGGUGUGGAAAGUGAGGUUUUGAAAGAAAAAAAAAAAACAUGUGGUAGAAUAGUGAUUAAAAAGAAAAUGCGGAGAUCAUGGAGACAUACUGUGUGUGGGUUUGGUUAUGUGGUUGAAAAGUCAAUGACUUGUAAUAUUGAGGGCGGAAAAGAAAAAGGAUAUAUUGAGGAUUGUGGGAUAAUCUUAUUAAAAUAUGAAGUAGGUCAUAGGAAAAGUUGGAAUAAAUAAUUAAAGAAAUAAAUUCUUAUAUAAAGUGAUGAAAGAGAUUAUUGUAAAUAAAUAUUUUUAGGAAAUUCAAUUUAGUUUAGGAAAGAGAAAUAAAUUAUUGAGGAUAAAUUGUUAUUGGUUAAAAAGUUGGAAAAUAAUUUUUGUAAUAAUAAUAUUGACUUAAAAAAAUAAUAAUAAUAAAAUAAAAAAUAAAUAAAUAAAUUGUAGGAUUCCCAAACCUAUUUUAAAUGAAUAGUCAAUAGUGUGGAUAGUACCUUUUUGUUAUGUUAGGUGAGAAGUAAAUUUUGGGACCAAACUUUUCAAGAUUUGGAAUGCUUAUUUGAGGUAAGGGAAAUUAGUGCAGUUGUUAAAAUUUUUUUUUUAAACAAUUUUAUAUAUAUAUAUAUAUAUAUAUAUAUAUAUAUAUAUAUACAUUAUUUGAAAACGUUUAAGUUAUAUUCCGUUAUAUGCAUGGAUCAAACCUGUUUUGCAUGAAAAGUAUGUUAGUUAUAUUUUGUUUUUGACAAAUAAAUGUAGAGAUAUUAUAUGUUGUAAAUUUGAAUAAAUGAAAUAAAUAUUUGACUCUGAUUUGUUUGGCCCUUGUCAACGGGAUAUAAUAGUUGACUUUUGGCCAUUGUCAAUGGGAUAUAAUAGUUUACCUUUACAUUUCUUGAUGGGGAAUGUAAUUAAUUUGAACCCCAGCCUCUAGGGGUUUUGGUUAGAGGUUACUAGUACUAGUAGUGUUUGGUUCCGUCCACCUUAAAGGAACAAUUUGAGGCUAGCCACCCAUUUGAAAAGUUCCACCUAACUGGGCACCCUUUGAUGUUUGAUGACCAAAGUAAAUAAAUUAGUGGAAUGUUUUGACUGAAUUUGAUAUAAAAAUGUUUGAAUCAGAAAUAAAUGCAUAUAGUUAGAAAUUUUGAAUGUAUUGGCAAAAAAAAUAAAAAUUAACUCACAGGUUUAUGAGAAUGAUUGAUUACAAUAUCUCAUAUUUUGCAAGUGAGUUUGAAAUAUUUGAUUCAUGGACUGCAUUAAUGUUCCUUAUUGGGUUGUGAGUUCAUUCCUAUUUGUUGACUACUUUUCAAGUAUCCUUAGUUCGGGUGAGGAGUGAUGGCUAGGUUGAGGAAUGGUCAUCAUUAGGAUUUGACUUAGGAUUUUAUAUUGGAUUUUGUUUAAUUGUUAGUUAUGUUCAUUUGGAUCUUUUGGUAUUUGGAAUCUAUUUGGAUAUUGAUCCUUUAAAUUUUAUGUUAGUUCAAAGUUGAGUUUUGGAGAUUUUGAAAUAUGUUUUAGUACUUGAAUUGUUUAAGUUUGCAAAUAUUUGGACAAUGGAUUUUGGAUAGUGGAUGUUUUAGUUAACAAAAUCGAAUUUUGAGGAUUUUAGAUUUUGUUUCGCUACUUUGAACAGGUAUUUGGUAAUUGGUAACUUUCGAUUACAAGAUAAUUGUUUGGGUCAGGUUACGUUGUAAGCCUUCGAGUUUGAAGUGUGAAAUGACCGUCAUGCCCUUUGAGUGGGUCUUGGGGCGUGACACGAACAAUGUCCCUUCAUACCAUAUCUAUAACAAUUAUUCUCAUGAUUCUUAGGAGGUUUAUCUUGUAAACACUUCCCAUUUUCUUGUUUUGCCUCAGAAUUGUUCCACUUCUGGUGGUGCAAUGAGGCUUUCCUUUUAUGAGAAUUUUAGGAAUUAUUACCAUACGAACCAUGGUUUGGGGAUUUCUUUCACAACCAUGUCCACGAUUUUGGGACGAUAUUGCAUUCACUUCAGGGAAUGAUUCAAAUCUAGUUGGACGAGACUGUGAUUUAUCAUCAAAAGUUCAUUUUUUUAAAACCUUCAUGGAGAUGACGACGAAAGAAAAUCAGUGUUUUUAUGCGAUCCUGCAAGGAUGCUUGAUUUCCUUCUUUGAUCAUAGCUCCAAGAUUCAUUAUAUCAAGAUGUAUUUUAGCGUCAAGGAUUCAAGAUAGAUAGCCCGAAAUGUCAAGUGCCACAAAUUCAAGUUUUGUGAGAUUCGACAUUGUCAAAUAAUUUCAAAUAUAUGACAAAACAAUAUUAUUAGAAUUAGUUAUAAUAAAUUGAUAACAUUGGUAUAACUUUGAUUAUAAACAAAAUCAAAUAAUUUAUUUAUAACUUUUAAGAAUAUGUAACAAAACAAAUCAACAAUAAUAUAAAUAUGUAAAAUUUUAUUCUAUAUAAAUAACUUCAAUUUUAAGAUACGAGAAUUACCUUCAAAGCAAUUCGUGCUGAUAACGUGUUGUGAAAUGAUGAUAAAUGCAACACAAGUCAAAGUAGUAGAGAUAAAAUAUAUAUUACUUUAACAAUAUAUAUAUAUAUAUAUAUAUAUAUAUAUAUAUAAUGGUAAAAAUGAGUCAAAGAAGAGAGUUGAGAGAAUAAAAGACAAAGAGAAUGAGAGAAGAAGAGAAAUUUCUUUCUUACUUAGGGAGGGGAUGGGAAGCUCUUUUAUAGGCUUUCCAAAUGACUUCCAUUAAUAUUCCCAUUAAUAAAUAUUAAUGGAACUCAUAAAUAACAUUAAUGGUUUCCAUUAAUGAGUAUUAAUGGAAGUCAUAAAUAAUACUUAAUUAACAUUUAUUAUAAUUAAUGUGGUGGUAUUCGUUACUUCAGUAUUAACAAUAAUGAAAUAUUAUCUUAUCCAUUUUGAUUAGUCCUAAAAUAGGAAGGAUUAAACAAAUAUAUGAUCAAAUCAAAGUAAUUAUGAUUAUUGACAAUACUUUUAUAAAACACUUCUAGCAUAAAAAACAUUUUCAAAAAAUAAAUUAGAUAUUUGAUAAAAUUUGAAAAAAACUUUUACAAUUCUCCCGAAAAUACUUUUAGAGGGAACACUUCAAAUAAAAACAUUGUCAAACUUUUAUUCUAAAAUAUUUUAAAUUUUAAUGUUUUUCUAAAGAUUUAUUUUUAGAAGAAUCGCUUAUUAAAUUUCUGUUUGACAAUAUUUUUAGAAAACAUUUUUAAUAUAAAAAGUGUUUUUUUUUUUUUUUAAAAAAAAGAGUAAAAUAAACGUUCAACAAAAUUUAGAAAACGCUCUUAAAAAUUUGAAAAAUCAUUUAUAAUAUUUUUUGAAAUAGUAUUUAAUAACUGAUUCUUUAAAUAAACUUGACUUAUAUUUAUAAAUUUUUUUUAUAAAAAUAUUAAUUAAGACAAGAGAAGUAGAAGAAAUUACUGGGAUAUACUUAUUUAAUUAAAUAAUUUUUUAAAGGAAAAUUAUGUUUUCGUAUACACAUGUGGAAUAAACACAAAAUAAAAUUCAAAUUAACAUAUAAAUCUAAAAAUAAUUAAGAUUCUGUGUAACUUUCAAUAAUAUAAAUGAUGCCUUCAUCAUAAAAUCCAAAUUAAUUAUGAAGGAUUACUAUUUCUUUUUCAAAUGAGUGGGGCACAUACUUUUCCCUGUUUCUUAUAUCUUCUCUGAAGCGUGAGAGGAAAAGAAUGAGAUUUUCUUAUAACAAUCAUGCCCAUAACAAAAGCAGCCCUCAAAUCAAAUUGCCUAAUCCAUGGCUGCAGAGCCUGGGAAGUGGGAAAUGGGGAUCAAAGUGGUGCCACAUGGCCUGAGGCCACCGAGCACUAAAGACAAAGUGUGGUGGUGGUGCCUCCAAAGGUAUGUCAAUGAGGCCGGUCAGUGCUUAUCCUACUGCUGUUAGCCAGUCUUGCACCACUCAUUGGAAUCCCAUUUCAAAGCUUGGACCAUCUACAAAACCAGCCUGCCUUUUGCGGCCCUGCUGGUAGGUAGCUCCCAACUCCCAACUCCCCCCACCCUUACCAAACUUAUGGUUGCACUGCCUGCUUUUGAGGGUCUACUCAAUUUUUUAUUUUUUAUUUUUUUAUUUUUUUUAUUUUUUAUUUUUUAUUUUACAAAUCAAAGGUGGACAAUGAACAGAGGAAACCAGCAAAACCAAGUAUAUUUUCGGUAAUGAUUUUGAAAACCAUUAUUAGAAAAUAGUUUUUAAAAAUAUGUUUAUUUAUAACAAAAACUUGAAACGUUCUUAAUCUGUUUCAUGUGUUUUCAAAUAUUUUUUUUCUAAAAUAAUUUUCAUAUGUUGUGUUUUAUUUUCAAUCAUUCUCCAUAUUUAUAUAAUUAUUUUUAAAAAAAUCCCAACAAAACAAAUGAAAACAAUUAAAAUAUAUUUUCAAAAAAUACUUUGUUUUCAAACCAAUCCUCACAAACAUAUUUUAGGAACAAUUAACAACCGAACAUAUUUUCAUAUAUUUUUUUCUAAAAACCAAAAAGCUGUUCUUGAGAACAGAUCCAAACAUAGCCUAGGUCUUCCUGGUUCUUACUUCUCAUAGGGCAAUGGUUCAUGUAUGGUGUGUUAAACAUGUGAGAUCCCAUAUUGUAUAAGGGAAGAUGUUCCUAUCAUUAUACAUAUAUACAGCGAACUUCUCUUAAGUAUGGCCUGCAUGGCAGAAAUGUUCCCCAACUCCUCUGAACCGUGUAAAUAUGAUUUAAAGCGUAGACACGUUUAUGACCAAUAUCUAUGCGAGAGAGGUUGAGGGCCAUUACAAAUCAUACCAACUUAACCAACCUAAGUUAAAACACACUAAGGUACAACGAUCAGCUCAUUCCUCCAAAUGCCUAGAAAGUAUGGAUUCAAGCUAAAAGAAACACGCACAAAAAAAGUAACUGUUUUCUUCAUAGAUCUAUUUGCAGAAAACCAAGUGUACUUGUACACAUGCUAAUAAGAGCUAAACAAAAUUCCUAGCACCAAUUAAUCAGAAUAGCGAUAUGGUCAAUCUUGCAAAAGCAGAAGCUCAAGAACAUCAAACCAAUACAAAUUUGCCCAAUAGAGAAGAAAAAUCAGAUUUCAUUUAUGCGAUAUCGUGGAAAAAUAAUAUGAGAAAUCCUACAAGAUGUUACAAACAACCAGUUGCUAAUUAUGCCUUUCCUAAACUACUCAGCAGAAGAAUCCAGGAUCUCACAAGGCACCUCAACUCGUUGCAGAUGGAGAUGGAUAGUCGCGCAAGUGAUACAUGUAAGCAAAAUUCAAGCACAAUUCACGAUCCCUUUUGUCCCCCCAGCCUCCCCAACCUUUGAACCCAGCUUGAUACCCAGGCUGUUUCUUAUACACAUGCACUCCCCAUUCUGGUUUGAUGUUGACAACCUUAUCAAUGUCUUCUACAUCAAUCUUCACCGAGCCAUGAUCAAUGCAAGCACCCCUCUCCCCCUGGCCCUGAUGAAGACCACACUUCCCAAAGUGAACAGCAGUAGUCCUUGGCCCACGUAGUGUGUAAACAGGGCGACCAAAUGAGGGGAAAACUGUAGCCCACAUUGUUAUAUCCCAGUUGUACUCAUCAAAAGAACAAAAUUCUGUAGCCUUCCUAUGGAUUUUCCUCCACACAGUCCGAUUAAAGGCAUAGCCGAUAUUUCCCAUCCUCUCAGCAAUCAGAUUCUCCCAUCCUUCUCCCUUGGAGUUCACAUCACAUGGUGCUAAAUUCACAGCAUAGCAAUCAGGACAUUUCUUUGGCUUCAGAGCUGUGAGUAGCUGCAGGCUGCGAUAUGCAUUAGGGAAAAUGAAGUGGUCUUCCUCUAUGAAAAGAAUAUGACCCGAGUGACCCCGAGUCUCCUCCAAUCCAUCCCACACUGUGUUCAUCAUCCACCACCAAUGAUGCUUCAAUGACACAAUCUUUGGUGACCUAUGGUUCCCAUACUGAUCAGGAUUUCCUUCACAAUGUUUCUUUCUCGGGUCAUCCUUAUCCUUGCAGUCUGUUGCUGAGAUACCAGGAAAGCUAUUGGGAAAGACAUGGGGAGAGUAGGAAGCAAAUAUCUGUUUCACUUGGCAGAACUCAAUGCCUUCCACAAUCUUGUUCAUCUCCUCAAAAUACCCAUCAUGGCUGACAAUAAGUAAAGUUUCACUAAUCCCCACUACCUGAGAGAGGCUCUGAACUACAACUCGGAGAUACUGAGGUCGAUUGUGAACAUAUAGGACAAUAGUUAUAUGAUCCUUAGCUAGAUUUGGAUAAAGAUCUAUGUUUCUAGGAGGCAUCUGGUUGAGCUUGUCCAAUCUAAUUGACAAUUUAUUCUGUUUAGGAAGAUUAAGUAUUUGUCUAUAAUGGGAGUAGCUAUCAUUCAAUUUGUAGCCUUCAUCUACUUCUUCAUCCUGAGGCCCAUCAACAAAACUUGAAAUUGAAUUCGUUCUAAGGAGAAAAAUCAACAGAAAAACGCCUAACAAAGUAAUCAAAACCACAGCCAAGAAUCUGCGAAGAGCUGCAUAUCUGAUUCUGGGUUUCUUGUUGGAAGCCAUGAAGCCGACAACACACAAAGCCUCAAAACCGUUCUGGGGCAGUUAUGGUUGCAGCUUCUACCGCUUCAAAGUUCAUAAAAAAAACCAGAAAACCCACCAUUCCAAGGAAAGAAAAAUCAAAACUUGAUAAUCAAGCAGUCAAUAAUAAGAAAAACAGCACCAACCCGUUUGAGAAGAGAUUGAAUGAGCAAAAGGGUAAGCGUCAAAAACCUCCAAAACUGCCCUCACAGUGAGAUUGAAGCAUCCAAAGCUUCAUCAGAUUGAAUCCCUGAACUCAAACCUGAAACCCCAGCCCUCAGAUGCUGCAAAUCAAAUGAACAAAAGAAACAAGGUCCUCUUCUAUAUGCAUAUCACAGAUCAGAAGAGGAAAAACCCCAAAUGGGUACUCAAAAAGUCUGAUCUUUAAGCUUUGAAACGUGAUAAAUCUGCGAGAUCAACGGAGGAGAUUACAUGGUUGACCGAGUCUGCACAGCAGAAAACAGACUAGGAAGACUCCCGGGAUACUUGUCAGCAAAAGACUUUGAAAAUGGAAAAUUGUAGUUUAUCUGAUAGUUUAAUAAGAGUUUGGAGUUCUAAAUCCGGAAACUUCAAGAGAAGCCCUGAAUGCAAAAUAAUUUCAUAAUGAUAUGGGGAUUCAAUCCAUCAAUCAGAUUCCAUCUCUGCAUAGAAAUAAUCUCUUUUUUUUUGGAAUUUUUUUUAUCAAAUUGAAGGCUGCAGCUUCAUAAUAUCAAAUUUUGAUUGAUAAGUGGUUGACAUAUGGGCAAGUGACAAUGAAAAAAAAAAAAAAAAAGGUUAAAAAGUGAUGAAAGAAAUGGCAUUUCUCUUAUUAAAAAUAUUUCACCACCAUGAUUUAUUUUAAUGAAUUUAAAAUUUUAAGGUAAUAAAUUUGAUUUUUAUUUUUCAAAUUUAUUAUAUCAAUCAUAAUUAAAGAAAUGUUAGUUUAGAGAAUUAAUUAAUUAAAAGGAAUGAAAAAGUUAAAAAGUAAUCACUUUUUUUUUUCAUACAAAUGUGAUUUAUUUAUAAGUAGCUUUUAAAAGAAAAUAUUAUUUUUGUAAAAAAUAAAUAAAAAUAUUUUAAUAAAAAAUAGUUAGAUUUUUAAAUUGAGAAUUAUUUCAUUAUUUUACAUUGUAAGAAAGAGAGAGAGCAUAAAGCAAGGGAUGAUGGAAUAAGAUAAAAGUAAAUUUUAUUUAUUAAAUAUAAAUUUUUCAUGAUGUUUUGGUGCAAGUGGCUAGUAGGAAUUUUCAUAAAGAGGGAAAAGAAAAAGAAAAAGAAAAGAUAAAAAUGAUGAGGGGGGCAUUAGCAUUUUCUUGAGUGGAAUGAGAGGAGAAUACAAUGAUGGGUCAAUCGGCUUACCCAUCAAGGAACCAGCAAAAUUGGUAGUAUGGUUCAUUGUGUGACUUCAAAGUUCAAAGCCACCCACUUUACCUUACCUUCUAUGUGUUCUCCCUUGCUUUCCAUGGAAAAUGGCCUUGCGAAAAUCAUGUUCCUAAUGAUACAUUUCUUGUCAAAGAAGGUGAUGUGGUGGAAUAAUGGAAAGUUUGUUGGUAAAGUUGAGUUUGGUUUCAAAGGGUUCCUCCUCAUGAGAGAAGUGCUAUUUUUGAAAUAAAUGUUCAUAACAACCUCUUCUUGCCAUGUACUCCACCUUCCAGAUUUCUUUCAAAAUAUUUGUUGAAAACUACAUCUUAACUAAACUAAUAUUAAUACAAAUUUAGAGAUCACAUCUUAAAGUUACAUAUUUAGAAACUGUAUUUUAAAAUUGUAGUUACUAAUCUCUAUAGAACCCCUAUUUCAAACUAAUUUUAAAAAAUAAAAAUCAAGUGCUUUCAACCAUACUUUUUCAAGGUGUCAAUGAGCUGCAUGCUGUUUGAUUGAUGAAAGGCUCUUUUUUCACCCAAAAUUCUUGAUUUAUGAUCUAAGGCCAAUGGGAAGCUGUCAGUUCAUUGACACUUGAUGCAACCCCAUAUGGAGCAGUGUAGCUGUGUCCACUGACCCACAUAUGAAGAUGCUGGCUCAACACCACAUAUAUCUAAGAGAGAGAGAGAGAGAGAGAGAGAGAGAGAGAGAGGCCACUUGGGCAUGUUGGUCAUAUGAUGUUAGAUAAGGUUAGUAUCCAGAAUACCAAAUAUCAGUGCCUCUGCUACAUCCAUUAUCCAAAACCUUAUGCAUAUAUGUGAUGGUCAAGAAAUGAUGGGCAAAGAGACCAGACAGUGAAAAAAAACAGAGAAAAAAUGGCAGCCAAAGUGGCUCUCUCUUCUUGUUUUUGCACUAGACUUCCACUCCCUUCCAAAUCAUCCUCACCAUCUUCUCUCACCCACACCCCCACUUCACCAAAGAAAAGGGCACAUCAUUUUAGCAUUCAUGCAAAGCUCGGUAAGAGUCUUGAACUCUUCAUCCCCCCAUAUUCAAUUUUGUUGGUUUCUUUCUUGUUUGCAUUUUGUUUUUGUGUUUUGGGUCAAAAUGAGGCUGAGAUGUCAAACUUUAUGGAGAUGGGUUUGGUGGUUUUAGGAGGAGGAGAUGGAGAGAUCAAGCAGGGAGGGAAGAAGAAGUUCAUAACUAGAGAAGAAGAACCAGAACAGUAAGCCUUCAACUAUCAUCACUUUUCUUUCAUCAAAACAUUGAAAUAUCAAUUCAUAUUAUAUUAUAUCAGUCAUCAACAACAGAGUUUUGUCAACUGUAGGUAUUGGCAAACAGCAGGAGAAAGGGAAGGGGAGAACCCCAUGAAGACCCCCCUUCCUUACAUUAUCAUAUUUGGUAUGUCCACCCCUUUUGUUAUCUUAGCCAUUGCCUUUGCUAAUGGUUGGGUUAAGGUACCUGUUCGAUGAUGUGAUUAUACUAAUCUGAUUUGAUUAGUAAAUCCACCAAGUGCCAUCUCAUGUAUAAGCAUAUACUUCUACAGAUCUGCUUUGAAUUUCCAUGUCAUGAGUUUUGCUAUAGUUUUGUUAAUACAACACAAUAAGCUUAUUAUGCCUUGUUCAACAAAAAAAGGGAGAGGACAGAGGAAGAGAAUUAUCAGAAAAGGUGAUUAAGAAUUGCAUAAUUCUGCUUAUAAGGGCAAGAUCCUGUUUUUUCUUACAUUAGCUCUCCUUCUAAACCUUAAAAGAAGGCUAUUUGGCUUACAUUUUCCCAAGCAAUAUCACUUAUACUGAGUAAAACCAACUCAAUAAAUGUCAACAAAGGAAAAAAAAAAAAAGUAAUGAAUUUUAGCCUCUGCGAGGCUUGUAUAGUACUAUUGUGACAUGUUUUGUGCAAAACCGAUGUGUUGAACUAAGUGCCACCACAUUCUGGUUCAUUUUCUGGAUGUACAAAUGAUUUAAAACGAAGGUUUGAGGUCUUGUUAAAGACUGGGAACUGUCCAUGGAGAACGAUGGGCCAUUUAAUGGUGUGAUUUCAGCUUGUGGAGGUAGCUCAGGUGGCUCCCUUUCAAAAUCUUGAGCUACAAGCUGUGGGUUGUUAUAGCUUGACCCUGGGGAAGAAGGGGAUUCAGGGUCCUCUGGAACAUAAUUCUGCACAGUAGAUAAACUAAUUUCUAAAAUAACAGUUGAUGUAUUCAAACAAUCAAAAGCAUCUAGGAGGAUCGUGAAUACUAAGGAUCAAAUUACAAGAAAAUAUAUAGCUUCACCCAGUUGUAAGGAUCUUUCAUGCAAUGGAAGAAAUCCUGCUGAAACCACACUAAAUGAGAGAAAUGUUCAUCAAAUACUACGGCAUUUUUCACAUGUAAAUGCAACAAACCAAGUUAUUUCUGCUGUAUGGAGGGUUUUGAUCAUAAGUUCUUAGUAUUUUUCCUGAAAUUUAUAUGAUGAGAAUGUGCUAGAGGAGUGGUGGAAACUAUCAGUAUGUUCUCUAUAACCCAAUAGGUUGCAGGUGCUGGCAUCAAAUUUCAUCUGUUUAACGCAUUCACAACCAAAUGGAGCCCUAAGAUUGUCGCAAGAGGAGUAUUAAGAUAGCUGUUUUCUGGGAAUUUGUUUAGGACUGAACCCAAGUGCAGGCAUAAUCCAGAGCCUCACAUCCCUGGCCAGGGUAUGGAGUGCAAGCAACAGCAAAAGCUUCCCUCCUCAGACAAGCAGCCUAAUUUACUUAGAUGUCAAGGUUGGCCUCGCUUCAAGGUGAAGCCUUAAAGGGGGUAAGCUUCAAAAGCGUAAAAAGGACUUUCCCAUCACUACAGAAUGCCUCAUUGUUGCCAGUAGAUUAAGAUUAUUUAUCAACUAGAGGCUUUACCAUAAAUCUGUGAAGUUCCUGUAGGAUGUUGAAUAGCCAGUGGGACUAGAAAGGGGCCCAAGAAAAAAUUUGGUAUUCCAGAAAAGAUCUUCUUGCCGAUUGUAUCCAGAUAUUUCAUCUCAUUUUCAGGUAAAACUUGCAUAAACUAGAAUAGAGAGGCAUUGAAACAAUGCAGCAGAGAGAGGCAUCUUUCCACAAACAAUAGUUCUAAGAAAAGGAUGCAACGAUGAUAUUUAGAAUGAGAAGCAUAAGUUUACCUUCAAGUCCAACACGUUAUAGGCAUACCCAGUAUUAUCAUAGACCAGAGGCAAUUCAGGGGUAUUUCUCCACUGUCCAUCAACAAUAAAUCGGAAGUGGUAAAUGCCUAAUGGAAGCACCUUUGUAAUACUGAACUCUUUGCCUGAUCCAGCCAACAGCUCUCUGAGACGGAAAAUGAUCCAUGUUAGUGCUGAAAGCAAAACAUGAGACAACUUGAAAGAAAAAACUUAGAACAUAUCCUUGUACUUUGAUUUCCAGUCAUCCCAUGAUCCCUCAACAGCUACUUGCUUGCCACCAUAGUUCCAUCUGAUCUGUAUAGUCACCCACCUCCCAUGGAGCAUGCCCUCAUUUUCUGUUGUAUUCCCCACCAGUGCACGGCCAUGGAUCUGCACACUCCUAACCGGUCUUUGUGAAGGAACCAUCAGGGGCUGGAAAAGGAAUGAGAAAACAAAAUGACUAUGGAGUUUUGUAUAAAUGUUUGUGUUCGUUUCUGCCUAAUGAAAUGAAUACUCUGCAGCUACCUGCCAAAUUCCACUGAAAAACAGGGCUACCGUUCCUUUUGUAGAGAGCAUCUCACAUCAUAUCGACCCGAAAAGGGCCAAAAAAUUAGGUUUCCAGAGGUAGAAUAUCACAAAUUUUCAUGGGUAACUUACAAAUUGAAAGUAAACUUUUCUUCAAAGAAAAAUUCAUCAAGCAAAAGAGUUUUAAUAACUAUGGGAAUCACAAACUCAAACUCCCUACAGAUCAGGGACUGAUAGUUACACAAAUGAAUGUUAGAACUGCCUGUCUAAACACCUGAACGAUACCGAUAUACUUCUAAAUUAAGACAUCAACACUAAGAAAGACUAAAUAUAGAGAUAAAAACUGACCUGAGGAGGGAGCAUUAUAGCUGUGAGAGAAGGCCCAAGGUUAUGGGAAGGGGCCAAACACACGGAUGUUGGAGAUGCACCACGCCUAAACUCCACAUAUUGCUCACACCCUUGGAACUUCUUAAUUCCAGAAUGGCCUUCACCAUUUAUCCCACCACCAACAUUGCCCAUUACUGAAAAUACAUAGCCAUCCAGUUAGGGCUAAAGGAGGGUUUUUGAAAAAUACUUUAUAAAACCAGUUUUUGUGAGCAAAAGAUCAGUACCAAACAUUAAGACAGAACAAACCAAUUGGCUAUGAAUACACACCAUGAAACCCAUACUGUGAAAAGUCCAUACACUGAUGGCCUUCUUCCCACUUCUUGACUCCAGAGUUGCCUUCUCCAUUUCUUCCAUGACUGACAUUACCCUUCACUGAAAACUAAAACCCAGUUGGAAUCUAAAGAUUGUUUUUCAAAAACGCUUUAUAGAAACAAAAUUGAACAAGAAAUCAAUAGCAAAAAAACAAAAGCAGAAAAUACCCUUUGACUAAGGGUACACACCAUGUGCAGAGUUCAUAUACUGUUGGCACUCUUCAAACUUCUUGAUUCCAGAAGGGCCUUCUCCAUCUCUCCCACCAUGAGGAUUGCCCGUUCCUGAAAACAAAAAUCCAGUUACCAUCCAAAAGGAUGAUUUUGAAAAACACUUAACGGAAACAAUUUCAAGAACAAACAAACCAAAAACAUCAUCAGAACAGACCCAGCGAUUGUCAACACUCACCAUGAGUUCCACCUGCAGAGGAUUCCAUAGACUGAUCAAAAUCUUCACACUCCUCCACUCCAUCUUUCCUAGUACUAACAUUGCCCAUCCCUGAAACAAAAACCCAGUUAGAAUAUUUGAAAAACACUUCACAAAAACAGUUCUUUUGAGCAACAAAAACAGAAACAGAACAUACCCAAAAGAAAACAGAGAAAUCAAAGCAAAGUCUGUAAAUUUCUGGGAGUUUGGUCACAUAACCAAGUCAUUAACAAAUCACAAACACAAAAAGGGAAGAAGAGAACCCAGAAUUAAUUAAAUGAGGCGGUAACAUUAUAUUAUAGCUUUGUGUUGAUAAGUGAUUGAUUGAUGGAAAGUGCUAUUUGUCUCUUUCCCUCUUUCCUUCUUUCUCUCCCUAAAGCAAAUAAUGGAAAGUGAUUUUAUUCUCCAAUGAGUUUGGAAGAUCCCUCCAUCGUGAUCAUGGCCUGGUUUUCAAAAGGGAAUGUUGCAUUGGCAUCAUCAAAAGGAGAAUUGCUGCAGCAUUGCUUCUCUGCGGUCCAUGCAGUUCCCACUCACAGCCCACCACGUGGUAUGCUGUUUCAUGAAGCUUUGAGAAAAGUAGUUGCAGAAGAUCAUUGCCCUUUUAUGUGGGAGAAUUUUAAAAUUUUAAUUUUUUUUUUUAGUGCAAGAUCCUGUUUUUGAAUUUAAUAGACUCAAUAUUACCUAGAUUUGGAUCCCUAGUGUUUCAUUUUGAUUUUAGAAGCCCUCAGCUACUAAAAACAUUUUAUAGUCGGCUAAACUCGAUUUAGAUUAUGCAAAGUACUUCAAAAGAAAAAUCGAUUUUACAACUAUUUUGAUUUUCUUGUACUUUUCUUUUUGUUUUCUUAUUUAUUUUCUUUCCCGAAACUUUCUAAGAUGACAUAAGGGUUAAACAACUUGGUUUUCAACUAAUUCAAUAGCAUCUAAGGUUCUUAGACUAAUCAUACCAACUUGAACUAGGCUUAUUUAUAGCUAAUUUCUCCUCUGACCACUUGCUCCAACAGCUCAACUUAAUUGAAGAAAAAAAAAAGUAAUAAUAAUGUAUACUAUACAAGCCAAAAUUUAGUUUGAUAUAAGACAUGCAGAGUGAUUAAAGUAGUUGUUCAUAUAUAAUAAUGUAGAUGGGUUCAAAGCAUGGCCUUAACUUAUUCUGUUGGAUAACUUUCCCUCAGAACUAUGUUCCAUGGGAAUAAAAUUACAAGUUCCUUGAGCUCCAAAUAGAAGAAGAAAAAGGGAACCUAUACCCACAAACUGAACAAUAUUAUGUAAAGGAAUCCAAAUUCCAAACCCCAUGAGGUGGAAAGAGAAGACUUAUGUGUAUAUAAAUAUGAGUGGCAGUUGGUUUGCUUUUUGCUACCCCUAUGAGAAAUAGGACACAUAAAAAAGAGUACCAGGCAUUCUUUCAUAAAAAAUGAGCUCCCAAUCUACCAUGCAAGGCCCUUUUCUAUUUGGGUCCUGGAGUAUCUAUCUAUCUUCCCAUGUGACUUGUCCACAUUUUGUGGUUGUUGGGCAUCAUUUUGAUGACUCCCAAUGUGAAAAAGAGCUCAUUGCUUUUGUGGGGAAAAGAAGUUUAUAAACCAAAUAAUGGCCUUUUCUGGACAAAAAAAUCUCAUUGCCAUCUAAACAAAAAGGAAAAGGGAACCUUCAUGAUCAGCACUAGAAGUCACUUUCAAAGUUCUAAAUGAUCUUUGUUGUAUGAGUUUGAAUUCCAUGAGAUUAGUGAAGUAUAUAUGAAGUGGACAUCUCCUUUUGUCCAUCCAAUGAAUGAUAACAAGCUCAAAAGUAAUGGAGAUGCUGAGCAAAUCCUAGGCUUGCAAUUUACUCAUCUUGGGUCAUUUUGCCUUUGAAAACAAUGGUUGUGAGAAUCAAAUGUGAGUGAUUUUCUCUUCAAGAAUCCUUAGCAGGAAGGUAAAGGGAAGAAAAAUAGAGAAAAGAGAAGCCCACAUACACUAAAGAAAGAGAGUUGGUCUUGAAUAGAAUCAUAUAUUUUAUAUCUAUAGGUUGGUAGUUAGAAGUUGGCCUCAUCACAUAGGAGGAAGAUGUGACAAGGGGAAGAGCAUCUGCCCUAGUCACCUUCAAAGGCCCACCUCCCAUGGCAACAUAUUCUAAUUGGGACAAUUGUUUGGAGCCACAAAAAUGUCCCUCAACUGAUAUGAUCAAUAUAUUAAUGCACUAAUGCUUUGUUUGUUUGCCGAGGAGACGGGGAAACCAAUACCAAAUUCAACAGAUACAGUGCUUUUAUCAGCAUGAAUAGAGGCCUGUCACACACUGAAAAUGUGUACUACUGCACAUACAAGAAGCCAAACCAAGAAAAGUAUAUGUAGAUGCAGACAUCCUUGAGGAAAAAAAUAGGGUGUUUGGCCUAAUUUUUGGGAUUUUUCAAGUAAAAUCCUUGUGGUUAGAAUAUAGUGCUUGGUCAAAUAUUCCAAGGCAUUUGGAAAACCUCCUGGUUUCUUUGUCCAAUGGCAGCCCAGACCUUUAUGAACAUGGGCCUAUGUAUAGUAUCUCUGGAUGCUAGCUAGUAUGAGUGUUUUAAUUCCCUUCCUGAUCAUCUCUCUGAGGACUAGAACCCUUAAUCAAAAGCAAGAUUUCAUGGGCCUAGGUUUCUUCUUUUCUAAGGCUAGCAAGCCUCUUUUGACUCCAUGUUUUUGUGCUGAAGAAGUUGCUUGUAAAGGAGUCAUGAAAGAAUGAAGGUGGGGGAAACAUCAAAUACAUACAUUUUCCUGGUAAUGACUCAUGAAGAUGGUUCAAGUUUAUGAGUUUGAUCCAAACUCAGUAAUUUAGAUACAAUUGUGUAAUCCUUGUAGCUCUUCUGCAUCCCAAAGUAUCGCGUAAAGCAAAAACAAAACCAAGACUAAUCCACCUUGAAGUAUGAAGUUUGUGAUGGAUAAGAGCAAAGUAAUGGAAAAAGUCCAUGUGACAAGCAUGGGGGUGACAGUUUCUUGCAAUUUUUGUUGAUGAUUUUGCUCACAUUCUGAAAGAAAAGAUACAUAUAUAAACAAAAGUAUUAGCUAAAAGUCAUAGCUCAAGAUUCAAAGCAAGAUUAUUAACUUAGCAAAUUCCACUACAACAAUGAAAAUAGUUAGAUCAUGGUCCCCUACCAUUCUCAUUAACCGAUGAUCAGUACAGCUAAAACAUUCCUUAAGUCACUCUCCAAAACACAGGUCGGAAUUGUUGAUCUCAAUUCAUUCUUUCAAGACAAAAAGCUUCUCCAAGCUCGAAAACACUUUUAUUUUACUACAUAUAAUAAUCUUGAAGUCAAGUUUGUUUCCAAUGUUUGUAGUCAAAUUGUAGAGCAAAGGAGUUUCCAUUUAGGGAUUCAUGUGAUUUUGCUUUACUAGUACAACUAGCACCUGCAACUGGCCGGCAAGUGGCACCGCCAUCCUCGCUUUCUUUCGCUUUUCCUAGCACAAUUUUAAGCCUUACUUGUUUCCUAGGAUGACGUUGUUUAUGAUCCACUAGAUUAGCAGUCAUCAUUAGACUAUGAAGUUUGGAAUGGUUUCCUCUCACUACAGUGCAAAAAAUGUGAAAUUAAUUAUUUAAUGAUCGAUAAGGAUUUUUUUGAGAAAGCAAUUAGCAUGGAGAGAUCAGCUAAGAAGUGGAAAAUAUAGAAUUUGUGCAGAGAUUUCUUGGAGGAUUGUGAGUUGUUAUAGAUUGUUUUAGGCCAACAUCUGGGCACCUGAGCUCGAGUUAUCUUAAUGCUCCACUUCUUGUUUGAGGAAAUUAAUCAUUUCCAAGUUGAAGUUUUGGCUCUAAUGAAUAAUUCUUUCACAAUCGUACAACUAGGAACUCUAUGAUCUCCUUCUGUCCCCCACAAAUUUUCUCAAUGCCAACAAAAUUUUGAUACAGUGCACCGUAUCACAAAUACUGUUUCCUUGAAUCAAUUUUGCUAUUGAGAGUUAGGUUUCAGCCCAAGUUCAAGUUGAAAUAAUAGAAGUACUUGACUUGUUACCCCCACAAAUUAAGUUGAAUGAUUAAAUUUAUAGUUUAACAUGAUAUCAAGGUCUUGUUUCAUGAAAAAUUUAUUUUCAUCAAUUUAUUAAGUCUACAUUAGUUCAAAAGAAGAUUGUGAUAAGGCCGGGUGUCAACCCUUUAGGUUAAAUUGAUGACUUAAUCAAAGCCAUAUAAAACAUUAUGUCUUAUUUUUCCUUUUAAGUUAAAGGAUUAAGUAAUAUUGUUACUGAUUUUAGAAUUAUCUAACCCUAAAAUGUACUUUUAAGUUUUAUAAUUAAAUUGAUAGUUUAAUAUGAUAUUAUAGACGUGUUUCAUAGAAAGGUCAUUUUCUCCUAGGUUAAAUUGAUAACCGAUCCGGUAUAAACUUUGUCUUAGAGAUAACCAAGUAGUAUUAGUACUCAUCUUAGAAUUAUUUAACACUUAAACGUGGGUUUGCAUCAUAAUUUGAUUAAUUAAGCAAAGACUUGAAAGUUCAUAGUAAUAACUACAAAAAAGGAAUUGUUGCUGAACAUAUUGUAUUUCAACUCAUCUGCAUUCUCUUUUUUGGACCCUUCAGCAGAGGAAAGGCCUAAAUGAUCCUAAGCCACACAUGGGGUUGGACAGAUGGAAAGUCUUGAACUCCACAACAUGAAAUCAUCAUGGACAGAAUAGAGAAUGCAGAAGGAAGAAACAGUCAAAUUCCACACUCAACACAAAGCUAAUUCAAGGAGUGUGGAAAACACAGUCCAAUGAAACCCACGAGUAGGCAUCAACUUGAGCCAAGCCUGCAGGCUGCAUCGCAAGAGUUUGCGUGGGCGUGGGGCUAAGAUUCUUGGUUAGGAGGAGACAUGUUGAUGUCCCAUAUGUUAAAAGCAAAGCUAAAGCCAUCAUUAGGGGCGCAAACCAUUUGCAAGAGGGGGUGGACCACCAGCAGAAUUCAUAAGGAUUAGGUCUUCCUACCAGAAUAGGAUUACCAUACCCCAGUUGAUGUAAGAUUUGUUUGAAUCAAGAAAAGGAAAGGAAAACAAAAGAUUAUCGUUUGGGGUUUCUAUUUGAAUCUAUCUCCAUGCAUGGGAAAGUUGACAUUAAUGUUUUGUUUGGUUGCUGAGAAAGCUUAAGAAAAUGAAAAACCCUCACAGCUCCUUGGAUGAUACAUGCCUUCCCUUUUUCAACACAUUUCUUUUCUUUGCCACCAAGCAAAAAAAAAAUAAAAAUUUCUCAUAAGGUAUAAUCAUUAAAGGAAAAACAUAAUUCCAGAACCUCAGAAUUUUUCUCUCUUUUUUUCUUUCUCUUUUUGAAUAAUAGCCUUCUUUACUGCUUUUCAGAAAAACAAUUAAAAAAAGAGACUAUUGGCCGCUGGGAACAUUUUGAAUUUUGAUACAGACCCAUAUAUGUGUUUAGAUUAAGCUGGAAAAAAAGACUGGUAUUUUUUUCUUGUAUGGUCUUUUUCUCUACCAAAAUCUCUUGUUGGUUGUUGUUUCUAAGGAGUGCACCUCUGGCAUAAUAAGUACAGGGGUUCAUGGGCUUUUCACAAGAGGUGGAAUAGGAGAAUCAUGUGAGCUCUGCGGGUGUGUGUAUGUUGUGAUGUCAUUGCAGCAAAGGCUCUGAAUGUUGACCGAGGGCCUCCGCUUCUGAGCUCCAGUCUUCCAUAAAGACUACUGAGAAAGCCUUGAUGGGUGUCAAUGAAGCAGCAGAAUCUGACAGAGCAGUGGAUUCAAUGAUGGGUUUGAAUCUAAUGGGCACAGAAACGUUUGAACCCACUAUUGGUUACUGAACAGGAGUUGGUGAUUUUGAGUUAAUCCAGAGGUGACAUUUAGAGGAGAGGCAGUUUCAGUUAAUGGGGUUGAGUGAUUCAGACAGAAAAAUGAGUAACCAAACUGGGUCUUUUGCCUUUGGGUGAUGGGUCUUGUCCAUCUGUGAAGAAGCUCCAGGUAUGGUUCAGAUAUAAUGGUUUUCUUGAAGUUGCAGAGAAAUGGAGGAAGGAGAAAAAUAAUAUAAUAUUUUUUGGCUCUCUUAUUGUUUUAUUUAUUUAUUUUUUUUCAUUGAUGUUGGAGGGAAAGUGCCAUGUGGUGAGCUCAGAGGCCUGCACAUGGCUUCUCCCAUUUCCAAGCUCUGCGAGUGUAAACCAAUAGAGUAAAACCAAGGGAUUUGAGGUUUUCAAGAGAAUCAGGUGCAGAGAAAAACCACCUGAUUGGCGUUAGAUAAAAAAAACCCAGUUUUUUAGGAGCAAUGGAGGAGUUGGGAACUGUGAGUCUGUGAUCAAAGAAACAACCCAGAAAUUAUAACUUCAGUGCAAGUUUUCAAUUGUUUAAGAGGAAAAAAGCCAUUUUCUUUUCUUUUCUUUUUUCCUCUUUGCAAACCGGUUCAGGUACAUCUGUUGAUCUCUCACACCAUUGUACAGCUUAUGUUCACACUUUGUUUAUGUAUUAAUAUGAUCUGAAGAUUGAUCUAUUCCAAUAUGAUAUAAACCUUUCCUGUUUUAGCUAUGUGUCUUUGUUGAUAUCUAAGCAAGAAAGUAGUAGAGAUUGAAAGUUUGAAACCACCUUCCACCCAUUUGCAGUCUCUAUUUUUUUUUCAAUCCAAGGCAGAUCCAUCAAUCAAUUAUCACUGUCUUAGUGUCUCUUAGUAGCUAUCUGUUUUGCUUGUGUUGGAGCAAGAAAAGGACAAAGUCCUUUUUUGCUGUUUCUGGUUCUGGUUCUUGUUCUGUUUCUUCAAGUACCCAUCAAUCUGUGUUUUGGUUUGACCCUCCUUGGAGCCCAAUAAAAACCCCAGAGUUUUCCAUCCACUUUCAUCUUCUCCAUUUUGACCCCAUUUGCAGUCUCUUCAAUCCAAUGGUCUUGAACCACAGAGUUGAGGAUCAAAUGGCUUCUUCUCUGUGUUUCCUCAGAAAUCCACUGCCUUGGGUUGCAGCUCUUGUCCCAGUUUUGAUAUUUGCAGGCUUUCUGGGUUUUGGGGUGUUGUCCAUCCUCAUCACAUCUUCAGCUUUGAUCUUAUCUACUGUCCUCUUCACAUUCUCAAAGCAAAGGCCAGUGGUGGAGGAGGAAUCACUGAAAGAAGAAGAAGAAAAAGUAGAAGAAGAAGAAGAAGAAGAAGAAGAAGAAGAGGUUCUCAGGUCUGAUCACCAUGAGAGUCUGCCUCACAUGGAGGAAGUUGCAUCCAGAACACAGACUGAAACUGAUACCAUCAUACAGAGGGAUGAAGCCCAAGAGAGUGGAAUGAGCCAUCAGAUGAAUGAGUACAUAGAUGAGUCUCCUGAUUCACUAUCAAAAACUGAAAGCCUUGAUCAAUCAUCAACGAGUGAUGAGUCUGAAGUGGAGUGGCCAUUCCCAGACAAUGCAGGCCAGAGUCCAGAAUGCUCUGAUGGUUCAAUUUCUGAUGAGGAUAGCCUCAUUGAAAUAGCACUCCUGAGUGGGCACUAUGUUGAUCCUAAACAAGAAGACCCCAAGUUCAACUCACAGAAAAAACUGCCAGACUUCACACCAGACUCAAUUUUCCAGCAACACAGUACUCUAAUGGAGCUCCUAGCAGAGAUGAAUGAGAUGAAUGAGGAGGAAAACUUGAUUGAGAUUGACAUAUCCAUGGGAUCCAUCAAGUGUUCAAGGUUUGAGAUUGAAGCAUGAGCAUGAGCAAGUGUUGUAAAAGUAACUUUCUCUCUCUCUCUCUCUCUCUCUUUUAAGUACUUUUUAUGUUUUUGAUCCAUUUGGAUUUGGCUUAAAGAAAGAAUUAGGGUUUUGGGGGUUUAGGAUUUGAAGCUUAUGCGGCUGCUUCUUGACCUCACUUCCAUUGACCCAAAGCCCUCACAAACCUUGGAUACCCCCAUUAAAGCAGUUGUACUAUCAACUAUGGGCCUUUGUUUUCUCUUAAUAUGAAGAACACUAAAGUAUUAAAAGUUUAGAAAGGCCAUCAUCAAUUGAUGGGAUUCCACUUGCAUUUCUUUAUCCACAAAUAUAUCUUUUUCUAUAAUCUUCUUGUCCAUUUGGCAUCAUCUAAUGCUUCAAAGCAUACAUUUAAUGGGUCCUAAAGACAACUCAAGGCUGAGAAGAACCCAUGAUGCAGAACUAUUCCAAAAGAUUUGUGAUCCAAUUCACAUGACCCAGUAUCAAUUUCAUGUGAUUUCUAUGGAUUUUAAAAGAAAUACAAGGUUGGUUCCAUUUUUUUUUUUUUUUUUGGUGAUCUUUGGUGGAAAGGAAAGAGCCAAUUGAAAAGAAAUUUAGCAUGUUUAGAUUAGACAUUAACCAUGUUUGUGUCAUAGUAAAACAAUACGAAUUUUAGUAUUUUCGUGUCAUAAUCGUAUCAACUCAUAUAAUUGGUUUAAUGAAUGAGAGUGUUUGGGUUUGACUACUUAAUAAGUAUUACUCAUUUACUUAAUCAUAUCAAGAUAAACCCGCUUAUAAUUCAUUUAAUUUAUCAAUUUUAGACAUUUAGGAAACUUUUUUUGUUAAGUGAUUUUAUACACUUAGGAAAUUAUAAAAUUAAUUUUUUUUUAUAAUUAUGAAUGUUAUUAUAAUAACUUUUAAAAAUAAAUAAAUAACGAGCUAAAGCAAAAUUUUAUAUAUCUAUAAUUAAAAUAUUAAACAAGAAUUAUAAAUGGUACAAAAUUAAAUUUUUAUUUAUUUUCUACAGCAUAUAUAUUAUAAUUUAAAACAAAAUAAUUAAAUUAAUUAAGAUAUCAAAAAAUUAAACUUAAAAGUUAAGAAAAAAAUUUUAAAAUUUUUAAGAAAAAAAUUCAAAUCAUAUUAUAUUAUAUGUAAGAUAUACAAAUUUAUUUUUAUUUUUAUUUUGAAGCUAAUGGUUUCUAUUUUAUUGAGUUGAAAAGCUACAACAACUCAUCAAGGCAGCUUUGCAGAGCUUUUAUUGAUUAAGGCCCCUUGAAUAAGCCUUUUAAAAGCCAUGACUAUGCUUUUCAUUUUAUAUUUUCUUUAAAGAAAAAAGUUUAAUAAAAUCCUUUUAGAUAAACUUUUAAAUAAUUUUAUUAAAUAGUUUAUGACUUAUCAAAAAAGGUUUAAUAUAGAAGUGAAAAAUAUUAUGUGUUGUAGAAACAUGAUAUUAGUCCACAAAAUUAGGAUUUUGAUGUAUUAUUUGACUUGUGACUAUAGUUGAAAACAAAAAAUUGUCUCAAAAGGAGUUGACCAUUCCUUCGUCUACGUUUCUUGAAGCGGCGUCGUUUUGAGGCUUUGUAAACAAUGAUGAGCAGCUUCCACUGCCUAGCUCUUUCCACUUACAACGACGCCGUUGUGAUCUCGCGGUUUCGGAAUCGAUGGUGCUUAGGAUGCCACGUGUAAUAAUAAGUAGAUAGAGUAAGUCCACGGCUCAUUGACCUUUCUGACCCUGGGUGUUCGACUCACCUCCAGCCAAGCAUCAGCCGGCCCAAGAUUCUCCACUAACUCAUUACGUGGUCACACCUCCAGCCGUCAAAUUCCCCGUCCCUACUACGCAUCGGACGUCCCAGGAUCACCCACGUGAACCAUGCUUAUCGACAAACAAACGGUCCUAAACCAACCACGUGUCGCACCCGAUGCCAUAUUACUUCGACGAUCCAACGGACCCAACACCUCCUCCUCUGCAACCACGCUUCUCUUCACCGGAGUGACGUUUUUCCGGCCAGUCCCUGCAAAACCCACGUUAUACCCUGGUUUCCUCCUCCGAUUGGCUCAAUUCGCGACCCUCAAGUCAUGAUUUCUUGAUAAACGAAGUAGGUGAAGAUCGAAAUUCAUGGCGGAUUCAGACAACGACUCGGGUGGGCACAACAACAGCAACGCCAACAGCGAGCUGUCGGCGAGAGAGCAAGACCGAUUCCUGCCGAUCGCAAACGUGAGCCGGAUCAUGAAGAAGGCGCUGCCGGCAAACGCGAAGAUCUCCAAAGAUGCUAAAGAGACGGUGCAGGAGUGCGUGUCGGAGUUCAUCAGCUUCAUCACUGGAGAGGCCUCCGACAAGUGUCAGCGAGAGAAGCGGAAGACGAUCAACGGCGACGACUUGCUGUGGGCGAUGACGACUCUGGGGUUCGAGGAGUAUGUGGAGCCCCUAAAGAUAUACCUGCAAAAGUACAGGGAGAUGGAGGGCGAGAAGAGCUCCUUGGGAGGGAGGCCCGGCGAGAAGGACGGCUCCGGCGGGGGCGGAGCAGCUGCGGGAGGUGGGGGCGCGAUGAGCUCCGGCAGCAGUGGGGGUUUCAAUGGGGGUGGGAUGUACGGUGGGAUGAUGAUGAUGGGGCAUCAUCAGGGACAGGCUUACGGCUCGGGUUCGUUUCAUCACAUGAGCAGCUCGGGCAGCGGUGGCGGCGGGGGCGGAGGAGUGGGUAAGAACAACACCGGCAGUUCGAGCGGCGGCGGUGGCGGGGUGGCGUCAACGGUGAGGUCAAGGUAGGUAAAAGCUAGUUAGGUUAGGUGGUUGAUGAAAAGUGACUACUUUCUAGGGUUCUAAUUGAAUUUUCAAUUUUUUUUUAACUUUUUUUUUUUUGGGGUGGUGGGGAGGAGUUGAUGACUUAUGUUAUAAUAUGUAAGUGUAAUUGUGGGAAUUAAAAGAGAUAAAUGCAAUGCAAAUAGUCUGUAUCUGUAACCUCUAAUCAUAAACUUCUAAUUGAGGAUGAUAUUUGAGAACCUUCCUCUUCUUUUCUACCUGUUUAAUUUUUAUUUUUAUACAAAAUAUUAAAAUUAAUCAUAAAUAAAUAGCAAAAUCAAAUUAUAAUUUAUGGGUUUAAGUGUGGUAUGGUUUCUAUAAAUGGGGUGGCAUUUGGAGAAAGGGGGAGGGUGAAUGGGUGAUUGGGGUUUGAUAUUUUUGGCUUUGAAGUGGAUGUUACUUGUUAGUUUGCAUGUGGAAAUCUCUAAACCACUUCCAUUCUUCCAUUUCAUUGUCGGCCAGGCCAUUACCAUAUAACCCAUAAAAUCUCCUGCUUUUAAGUUGGACGUGACGCCCUUUCGGCCUUCUGUUUAGUAUUUAGAGUCACUUGUUAAAACACAUGAAAGCGAAUUCUUUAGAGUGAUCUAAACAACAAUUAAAACUAUGGAGAGUAUUUUAAAAACUUUACAUCAUAUGGUAUUUUUAUUAAAAAUAAGUUAGAAAAUUAUUUUUUAUAUUUGAGUUUUCAAAUAGAAUUUUGUUUUUAAAAACUUUAUGAUAAAAAAUUGCUCUUAAACCUGUUUUUAAAAAAUACUUCCAAAAGUUAACACUUUCCACUUUUACAAAUAUUUAUAUUUUCUAUUUUGUUGAGUGUUUUUGCAUUUAUAUUAUUAUUAUUACUAUUUUAAUAACUUUUUAUUACAUGAAAUUAGAACUAUUUUUCCUAGCGUCUCUGCAACGGAUUAAUUUCAACCUUACAUCGUGGGCUCCCCCAUAAAGCCCUGAACCCGUGUGCUCUCUUUUGGGCUUCACUAAUUGCAGGCUACUCUAACCAAAUCUGGACCCUUAACUCACACUUGCUCUCUUCCAUUUUGGUAAAUGAAUCGAAACUUGGAUUGACAGAACAAAAGAUGGCCACUCACAAGUCACAAAGGACGCAAAACGCAUUAAAAGUAGCACAAAGACAGCAGCAAGGAUCUGGGCCACGGGAAUCAAACGAGAUGAUUUGUUCUUAGUUCCUUUGUGAGGAGCAUAUAAUUACUAUCAUCAUUAAUAGGCUUACAGGUGUCUUUAUACUACAAAGUGCUAAAGUGCUAGCUUUCAAGAAGUGCACAACAGUUAUCAAAGCCCAAAGCAGCAAUGAGCCUCUUUAUGUGCUCCUUAAUGGACAUGGUUUGUUCAUGCAUUAUUAAGCUAUUCUUUUUAACAUCUUUCUUAACGCACUAAAAUCCUUUCCGAGAGAUUAUUUAAACCUAAAAGAAGUUAUUGAAGAUCAAAUGCAAUGAAUAACAACCUAAAGCAACUAGGUCGGGUUGACCAGUAUAGUUUGACUUAAAAAGUGCUAACUAGACUUAAAUAGAAGGGAUUACAAUGAGAUGAGUUUUUUCGUUCAGAAUUUCAGAAAAGUUUAAAUGAAUUACGAUUAGAUUAACAUUUAAAAAAAAAAACCAUUGGUUAUGUGACACUAAAUUUGAGCUAGAUUCAAGUAUUUAUUUGCUCCCUACUACCUUAUCCCUAUUAUAUAUAUAACAAAAUAAAAAUAAACCAUUUUUAAUAUCUAUAAAAAUAAAAAAUAUUCUCUUAAUUUAUUUUCUAAAAACUUAUAAUAUUUUUUUAUUUAUAAAUUAUAUUUAAUUUUCAUAUAAUUAAAAAUUUUAAAAUAAAAAAUAAAAAAAUAAAGUCGGGCCAAAUGCAUAGAGAAUGGGACCUGACCCACCCUGCUCUGUUUAAAAAAGUUUUAUUUAAGACAAUAAUGAUAAUAUAUUUAAAUAAUGAAGAGAGAAUUAGGAUUGGUGACCCAUCUUUUUGCCAUCCCUAGUAAGAGGAAGUCCUAAGCCCAAGCCCAUGUAUGCCCAUGAUAGACAAGUCAUGGCCCGCAAGAGACGAUUAACACCGAAUCCUAUUGACAACGAUGAUAGGGAAUGCGAGGAUGAGUAGUGGGACCUUAUCACAACAUUUCAUAGCAAAAAGUUGAUUGUUACUUACAUUUAGUGUAUAUUUUGCUUCAAAUUCUUCAUUAAUUAAACAAAAGAGAUGUUGUGGCAUAUGCAUCAUCACACAAAAUUUUCUAUUACAUGUUGUAAGAUUUCUCGAAACAAAAUUCUUAUUUUAUGUUUUGGGGAAGCAAAUUUUUUGUUCAAAUUCAAUUUCUUCUACCACUCCAAACACACCUUAGGACUCCACCAACCAAAAUCAUGAAAAUCUUCUAAAUUACCUAAUCAUCUGCUUAGAUUUGAAUUGCAGCGGUACAAGUACAACAUAAGAAAGUGUGUGGGUGUGUGUGAUUUGAGAUAUUGUACGACAAAGAGGUACAAGGAGCUGUCGGCCUUGUUUGUGAGUGAGUGAGUGAGUGAGCGAGCGAGCGAGCGAGUGACUUGAGUCGGAGUGCGAGUUCGAAAAGAAAAUCCUAACCGUCAAAUAAUUUUUUUUUUAAAAAAAAAAAGAGUCAGUGGGGGCAUCAACUGACAUCUCACACACAAAUCAUCACCAUCCACGUCUACGUACCUGUAAGUGGCAUCUCCAUUACAGUCUGGCCUUUUUUGGGGGUACGUUGCCACCGACACUUACGGGUCCCACGUGUCACCCUCAUUCAAAAAAUAAGUAAAACAAGAAAUAAUUAUUAUAUUAAUAAAGGCAGGAGGGAGAAAAAGAAAGGGCGUGCAAGCAUCAGCAUAUGAACAUGAGCGGGGAGGAAAUGAAGCGGACAUGAGAAAAGGACAUAGUUUGUUGUCUAAAAUAUACAACAACAACCAAUUUUUUGGUGGAUACAGGUGGGCCUUUAAUAUAGCCAGAUUUUGCUUCUAUACUUUCAAUCUCUCAUUUUCUAGAAUGCUUUCACUUUUUUCUUAAUUUAUACAGCUGGAUCUUACUAAUCCCUUCCCACCAACGGUUUGGAAAAUGAUUCUUAUUUUGUAUUUUUUUUUUAACGGUUUGGUCCUAUCUAAAAAAAAUACAAAAAUAAUAGGUAAUUCCUUGUAAUAUGUCAACUUGUUCAUAUGAUACAAUCAUGUAUUCAUUUUUGUUGGUUUAGUUUUUAUAAGAUUAUAUCUGUUUCUUGAAAACGUAUCAAUAUGAAGGAAAAUAAUUUUUUUAAAUUAUUAAAAAAAAAUCUCUCUAUUUAAAGAAUAUUCAAAGAAUUUUCUGAAUUAAACUUAUAUAAGUAUAAUAGGAUAUAAAAAAAAAUGUGAAUGAAGAUUGAAAAAACAAUGCAUAAAGAAGCAUGAGACAUGUGAGUAAAGUACAAAAAAAAACGAUGAAUAGGAAUAAAAAGUGUGAAUGACUCAUGCUAUAUGUAAAAGUUAAAUAAUAAAUAUUAAAACUUUGAUAUGAGACCUUUUUGGAUGUUAUAAAUUCCACCAUUUUCAUUGACAGUUUAGAGAAGCAUAGCAUUCUUUGCAUGGAGUACAAGCAACAUUAGUUAUAGAUUCUGCAAAGAAAUUGGCAUAUUUAUAUGAAUGAAUAUUGAUUGAAACUUAACUUUCCUUUUUGUUGUGCUAAGCACGAGGCAAAAUCAAACUAGAUACUGCUUUUAUUAAAGCUGAACCAAGGGGGGGGGGGGUCCCAAAUGUCCAUCUCAAAAUGGUGGGUGAUGGGUAAUAGGGUAUCAUAUUUUGAAUAACAGCCCAUUACAUGAUUGAGGUAGUUGAAAGUGUAUAUUAACACAUUACUAACAUUGUAUGAUACCUAACCUUCGGCUAAAUAUUUUACGCACACUCAAAUGAAGGUAGAUUUGAAAUUGGAUUUUUUUUUUUUUUUUUACUAGGACUAGGGAGCCUUAAAGAUUCAAUGCCUUUGGUCUCUCCAACUAAGCAUUGGGCCAUGCUUACAUGUACUUUGAAAUAGUCCUUUAGGCCAUUGAGCCCUAGUUCUCAAAAUCUUCAUCAUUACCAAAUCAAUUAGUCUAUUUAAAUAUAUACAAAUUAAAAAUAUAAUUAAGAUAUGACUCAUAUGAGGAACAUGAUAAAAAUAAAAAUAAAAAUAUUAUCAAAUAAUAAGAAUAAAAACAGGUAUAACAUUUUGGUAUUAGGUCUCUCCUACAAUUUUCUAACGUGUGAUCAACCCAAGGAGAGAGUUUGGUUUGGUGGGAUUUUCAAUCUAAAACUGUCAAUUUGCAAAUAAAAAUGAUGUGUGCUAUUAAUGACUACUCCAAUCUCUAUGAAAGAUGUAUAGAUGUGGAAAUUCUGUACUUGGAAAAGAGUAAAGAAUUUAGAAUUACCUUGAAGUAUGAGUUUCAAAGCUGUGGAAUAGAGGGUCCCAUGGCCAUUUUGGUUCCAAGGUGGCAUGAUUUUGUGGUCACUCUACCUGUGACAGAUAAAAUAUGCCCACAAAAGGCCAUUAUAUACACUGCCAUCACUGCAGAGCGCCUCUACCACUCAAUUCUCUGCUUCACAGUUCACACCACCAUCUUCCUAUCUUCAUCCUUACCGGCAAAAUGCAGCACGCGCCGGUCUUCACGCGUCUGCUUACUCUCUCGGUGUGCUUGCUCUUCCUAUCCUGCGCCACCCAUGCGCACAAUAUCACUCACAUCCUCGCCAAGUACCCGGAGUUCUCGACCUUUAGCCACUACUUAACCGUCACCCACCUCGCCGGCGAGAUUAACCGCCGACAGACUAUCACUGUUCUAGCCGUUAGUAAUGCUGGAAUGGCGGAUCUUCUCUCCAAGCACCUCUCCGUUUACGUCAUCAAGAACGUGCUCUCCCUCCACGUUCUAGUUGACUAUUUCGGCGCCAGGAAGCUCCACCAGAUCACCGACGGCACCGCCUCGUCUGCGACUUUGUUCCAGUCCACUGGAUCCGCUCCCGGAACCGCCGGUUUCGUUAACAUUACCGAUCUCAAGCACGGAAAAGUCGGAUUCGGAGCUCAAGACAGCGGCCAUCUCAACGCCUACUUCGUUAAGUCGGUGGUGGAGAUUCCGUACAACAUCUCCGUGCUAGAGAUCAGCCAGAUCUUGACUUCAGCUGUGGCGGAAGCUCCGGCGGAGGCACCGAGCCUGAAUCUGACGAUUAUGUUGAGUAAGCAAGGCUGCAAAGCGUUCGGCGACUUGUUAGAAGCUUCUGGAGCCAUAAAAAC
rnacentral:lncRNA from 1 species